rnacentral:rRNA from 1 species
ACCCUACGGGAGGCAGCAGUGAGGAAUAUUGGUCAAUGGCCGAGAGGCUGAACCAGCCAAGUCGCGUGAGGGAUGACGGCCCUACGGGUUGUAAACCUCUUUUGUCGGGGAGCAAGACCCGCCACGAGUGGCGGAGCGAGAGUACCCGAAAAAAAAGCAUCGACUAACUCCGAGCCAGCAGCCGCGGUAAUACGGAAGAUGCAAGCGUUAUCCGGAUUUAUUGGGUUUAAAGGGUGAGCAG